UACGAAGGGGGCUAGCGUUGUUCGGAAUUACUGGGCGUAAAGCGCGCGCAGGCGGUCUUCCAAGUCAGUGGUGAAAGCCCGGAGCUCAACUCCGGAAAUGCCAUUGAAACUGUGAGACUGGAGUACGAGGGAGGUGAGUGGAAUUCCCAGUGUAGAGGUGAAAUUCGUAGAUAUUGGGAAGAACACCGGUGGCGAAGGCGGCUCACUGGCUCGUAACUGACGCUCAGGCGCGACAGCGUGGGGAUCAAACAGG
rnacentral:rRNA from 1 species